rnacentral:tRNA from 1 species
ACGUAGCUGGCUUAGUCGGUGGCGCAUGUGACUUUUGAUCUCAGGGUUGUGAGUUUGAGCCUCAUGUUGGGUA